rnacentral:lncRNA from 1 species
UUCCUGGUGUUUCGGUCUAUGCCUCCAGGCCAGGGCUCUGCUGUCCUGGGAACCUGUCCCUGCUUGCCAACACUGCUGGGGAGGCAGCUCUGGGACUCACCCAGGCUCUCCGUGGCUUUGUGUUUCAAAGCAAACAUCUACCUGCCCUGUAGUAUUUUGGUGUUACACACCCAAUCUGCCAGAUGACCUCAUUUACGGAAGGCUUAACGGCUUCACUAGAAAUCCUCUUUCCCAGGAUGAAGGUUGCAGAGAGAGGAAAAAUAAAACGUCCCAAUGCUUUUUUCACGUUUGCGUGCAUCUGUGGAAAACUAUCCUCCAAAACCACAACAUCCUCUCCUCCUGGAGAUACGCCAAGGCCAUUCUGUGUGUUCCUCUCCAGGGCCUACAGUAAAGUGCAUCUCAGAGAUUGCACUCCAAACCUCAUUUUCCCUUGGCAAGAGGAUGUCCCUUCUACAGCAGUUGGCAAGCCAAGAGCCCAGCACCGCUGGAGAACCAGCUCUGUGGGGUCAGAGGAAGAGCAGAACAAACCCUUCUCCUCUGCAGACCUCCCACUGCUGCCUGCAGGUGCAGUCCUGCUGCCAGGCCCAGGCAUGCUGGACCUGCUGCUGACAAGAGAGUGCUCCUCUCCAUGGUCCUUCCUUCCCCUGUGGCCAGCAGAGCAGUGGGUGUUGGGUGCAUGUGCCAGAGCCUGUGCUGCCUGUGGGAUGGUGCUGCAGGAGCAGCUAUGA